rnacentral:rRNA from 1 species
GGCCGCGGGAAUUCCUUUCAAGGCUAACACAUGCAAGUCGAACGAUGAAGCUCCCCUUUGCUGGGGUGGAUGAGUGGCGAACGGGUGAGUAAUGCGUGAGUGACCUGCCCCCUUCUUCGGGAUAAGCCUUGGAAACGGGGUCUAAUACCGGAUAUUCCCAUCACGGGGCAUCUUGUGGUGGGGAAAGUUUUUUCGGUGGGGGAUGGGCUCGCGUCCUAUCAGCUUGUUGGUGGGGUGAUGGCCUACCAAGGCGUCGACGGGUAGCCGGCCUGAGAGGGUGACCGGCCACACUGGGACUGAGAUACGGCCCAGACUCCUACGGGAGGCAGCAGUGGGGGAUAUUGCACUUUUUGCGCAAGCCUGAUGCAUCGACGCCGCGUGAGGGAUGAAGGCUUUCGGGUUGUAAACCUCUUUUACUAUUGAACAAUGCGCCAUUUUUGUGGUGUUGAGGGUAGGUGGUGAAUAAGCGCCGGCUAACUACU